rnacentral:lncRNA from 1 species
AAUCUAUACGGGAAAAAAUGGAGCUCCUCAUUAUGUUUUUACAGUCACAAAGCUGUGAGACAUGCUGGAGGACUGUGAGGCAUUUGUAAAUCAUUUGGUGUGCGUUUGCAAUAAGCAGACAGAUAUGUGACACAGAGCUUUGCAUUUUUAAACGCCUGUGCUUAUAUUCUUACUCAUUACCAGACGCUCCAGUUCUGUCUUCUUAAGCGUUCCCCACAUUGAGAUUCUUUUUUUUUUGUUCGUGACACAUUUGACAAAAUUUUCAUGAGAUCCUCUUCAGAGUAUAUUAUCAAUAUUUGACUUAGCCUACUGGUUCAACAAAGCCUGUCAAACAUGACUGAUGCUCCAUCCAGUUGGCAAAGGCCCGACUGAGAAGAUGUUCAUAUUAUGUUCUUCUCAGAUGUUAUACUAUGCAAACACCUAAAUUACUUCUGAACCAAAAUCAUGUCAAACAAGAUAAAGGAAAACAAUCUGCUAACAAGAAAACGUGUUUCUGGGACACCUAAUGAUAAAGAUUCUGCCUGAACUUGUCUCAGCCGCUUUAAAUCUUGUAUAGUCAGCAGUACUUAGCAGGCAGUUUAAUGUGGGGGUUUAAAAAGGGAGGGAGGGGUUGGAGGUCUGGUGGAAAAAAUACAAUGAAUGCAAUGUCGUCAUCCUGUUCAUGAGGGGAGUCCCUGCAAUUCCCUGCGCUUAUCCCACCAGAUGCGUAGGAUGCUUUAAUAUACAUCCUGGAAAAAAAAAAAUCAACUCAGCUUCCUGUCGAGGGACCCUCCACCGCAACCCAGCGUGCUUCAGCCGACAGCGUGACUCUCUGCUGAACUCUCCCAUGAUAGCACUUCAGACUAUGAAUGAAAACUGUUCAGCUUCCCAUAAUGUCAGAAGACAAACAAGCAGGAAUCCAAACUUACUCUGCACCGGCCGGAUCCUCUCCACUCAAUAGGUUUGUAUCCAGCUCUGCAGUUCCCAGACUCUCAGAGGUGUUUUGGUUAGGAAGACAACCUGAUGAUGUGGAAUUUCCUUUGAUGGCAGCUGAAAACAUGCUGUCGUAAAUUCCCCUGGAAGUGUUGCAGGGGGAAGCCACGCACAAACACACACACACUCUUAAACACACUAUCUGUGCUGCCAGUGCUGGAAGUCUGCAGCAACACCCAGUAAAGACUUGUAAAUAGAAGGGAGGGAGGUGGUGGUGGAGGGAGUUAGGGAGGCGGGGUGGGGCGGGAGGAUAAGUAGAGUGAGGAGAAGUUCCACAUUACAUCACCAGCAGCUGUUGACAGGCCUGUGUUUAUUAACUAACUGCCAGGGCUGGAGGAGUCACACCACAUGCCCUCAUGCCCAAAUUGACAAGAUGAGACAAUGCUCACUUGCUUCUAAAACACUCAAAUGAAAGACGUGCAGCUAUGUGCAAGUACCAACAAUUUGCAGACAUGCGGACGCACAUUUCUUUUGGUAAACACACAAAAAAACAAAAAUGCUUGGAAUGUCUCAGCCAAGACACAGUCCACGUUUAUUUCUCAGAAUUCCAUUUUUGCCCUAUUUCUCUAUUGUUACCUGUCUUCUGUUUACACUGGCUAUGAGACUUGCUGACUAGACUAGAAGAGCUGCUUUCCUGACUCAGAUAGCACUAACUGUAAUGGUAUUACUGCAAAGCAAGAGCUGCUGAUGCAUUCCUCAAGUGUCUUGGCUUGGCAGAGUCCCCAGCCUCUUAGCUCAGCCUGUAUUUCUCUCCCUCCCCUUCUCUGUCUCUCUUUCCUUUCUUGCCUUCUCAUUUAAAUGGAGGCACAUGACUCCUCGCUUUACUGCCAAGUUGACUUCUUUAUGCCGGCAGCCACCAGCUCUCUGCUUUUCAUUGGCCUCUCUGCAGGGCACUCCUGCAUUCCAGGCUGCCACCCAUCCUCGUAGCCUCAAAGAGGUUGAAUCAACCUUAUCCCACAUGUCAUAUUUAGCUUAUUUUUCACUUUUGUAUUCUUUUCUUUUAGAAUGCAUCAAACUGCAUUAACUUAAAAAAGUGCAUUAACUUAAAAUAAACUUUGAAUUUCAUGUUUCUAGCCUGUUGCCUGGGUGUAAGAGGCCUUCAGCUAUAGCAUCGUCCACCCACUGUUUGUCAUCCCUAACCACUGUGAACAAAUGCUCCGCUUCAGCCCAUCUCUGGUGCAUUCCUUGUGGUCUCAAAUGCAAUAAUUUCUCCCAUAAUUCCAUUCUGUUGUCGCAUUCUUCCCUUCUAAACUCACUGCAUUGCAACAUUGUUCGCUCACAGAGACAGAAUGAGGCUGGGCUUGAGUGGGCUGACGACAUUGCAAGACUUUGGGCUGUGAAGAGCUGAGAGAUAAAAGACGUCAUAAAUCGCACUGAAAAAUUAGUUUAAAACAAUUUCUGUGUUGUUUUCAAGCUUGGCGAACAGCCAGACCAGACAAAAGAACAUGAUCCCAAGUCGCCCCUUCAUCACAGGCAUUCAAUUAAACCUAAAUGUCAGGAGCUAAUCAGAUAAAAAGCGGCAUUGUAUUAUGCUGAUUGGCAUCAAAUGUUAUGAGGGAGAAGGGUAAUAAUAUAAGAAGACUGACCAUGUCAUUUUCAGUUAGCAUUUGAUAAUGGAAAUCUUUGAUUUCUUAAUUGGAAGCUUGUGAUGUAUUCUUUUAAUCUAACAGAAAAGAGGAAAUGUCACCAAAUUAAAAUGUUUAAAAUGACAAUUUGUCAUGCAGAAACGUAAAAUUUCCACAGUACAUAAUGUAGAGGUUAUAUGUGUAAAAUAAAAACUCCACAUCCAAGACAGUUACAGCUUUUAUUUUUGAUCCCUCUGAUAUUGUAAAUGUCUUCACUGUCAGCACUCCUAAUUUGAAAUUUUAUCUGGUCCAUCAUAAACCCGAAUGUGGGACAGAUGCAGUUUGCCACCUGAAACAUCAUGAGAACAACUCUGCAUGUGCAUCGUGUGAGUAUGUGUAUGCAUGUGUGAGCACUUGUGCACUCAUUUACAGUUUAAAUCCCCAUCCUUACUAAAUCACAUGCUGUCUUCCAUAUCUCCCUACUCCACUCACCCUGAUAUGCUCUUAUCUUGAAGUAAGGAAAGAAAAACACUGCUCCUCUCCUUGCUGUUAUUCUUUAUUUUUAUUGUCAAGAAGCUUAAGUCAUCAUCUUGGCAUCACAAGAAACCCAUCAUGGCAGGUUUGGGGGCAUAAAUCUGGUCAGCUUUAAUGGUAUAUUUGCACAAAAUAUGAUCUGUUGGCAGCUACAGUGCAGAAAACCAGGCUUGAGAAUCCCAUUUUGGUCAAAACCUUGCACAUACAUUGACAUGCACAUGUGUUUGUGUCCUGAGAGCUCAGGGGGGAGUUAAUGGCUAAUGAUCCAGCAACAUACAUCUUGACUUGCGGCACAUCCGGAUCCAUCUAAGGCAUGAGGUCCUACUCUUUCAUGUCACAGGUCAGAGCCCUGCAGGAGCACUGAGGAAACGAUUUGUGUGGAGCACCGGAGAGAGGAAAGCCAUAUAUAUUCUGCAGCAGUUCAGAGAGGAUGCAAGGAGACGGGUCAAAGCAUUUAGUAUGCAUGCAACGACAUGAGGAGCUCUAGUCCUUUACAUUGCAACCAUGCCUACACUCAGUGAAAGAAAUGAUCCCUUCAUCUGACCCUCCUCUUUCCAUUGGCAUCUGCACAUGGUCACUGACUCUCUAUUUUCACUAUUUGUGCAGAGUGCUGAGCCUAGCAACUGCCAUGAAAGUGGCAAGUGGAGUCAAUACAAUGCCUCAGUUACACAACCCGAGGCUUUAAAUAUUGUAACCAACUGAAUACUGCUUCUUAUUUUCAGGUGAUUAUACACUAAUAAAAUCAUAACCAUCAUUCCAUUUCCUCCCAAAUAUUACAUAAUGGACCUUUAAUUAUGUUUUUAUUUUAGGCAAACAAGACAAAAAGCGAAACUGACUGACCCAGUGAAUAUGGUGAAUACCUUGGACUGAAAUUUCGAAGGUGAAUGGGUCAAAUAUGGAAAGGACAGGAUUUCAAGAAAUGACACUGGGAAACAUGAAAAUAAAACAGAUGCACAGAUAGAUUAUACCCAUUUCAAUAUCACCCCAUCUUCUUCCAGACAUGCUUUCUCAUUCAACCACCAUGCCUCCCUUUGGCUUGCUAGCUGUAAUUGUGGAUAAGACCAGAGCAGUCAUAAAGCAGUCAACUCCGCAGCUUGCUGCAAUACUUACGGCUCCUUCGGUGUACCUGUUUUAUGGACAUCCCUCAGCAUGUAUUGUCUACUAUCAGUAGAACAUUUUGAACGAGACUACCACAAACAUCUGUAAUUGAAACACCAGACGAUCCCGAAGGUCUGGAUAGGCCGCAAAGCUGUCGAGACAGAACAUAGAUGGAAAUUUAUGAAGAAAACAAAUAUGAGCUUCACUUUUGACAUGAAACUCUUUAAAGUCUGCUGAUAUAGUUGCAUGCACGAUGUGGCUAGAACUAAUAAUAAUGUGGCCCAGGGCUAAUUGACAUACCUGAAUGCUGGAAAACAUAUUGAAUCUGAUCAGACUUGUGAAAUCAUCAUUUUCAAGUCUCCCAUGUGAAUAUUUCUAAGGAGCAGGAAAUGGCUUUGUGCAUGGCCCCCGCUACUCUGACAUGUUGGAAUGCCACAUCAAUGUUAUUCGCAGCUGCACUGGGAAUCCGACGAUGUCCCCUUUCACAUCAGCGGCCCCAGAAAGCAUAUUUAUUUGCAUGUAAGCAUGGACUCAAGAGAGACAAGCUCAGUACAUACGGUAAAGAUUUCAUCUUCCACAAAUCAGAAAGAAUUGUGGAGUUUGUGCUGAUGUCAGCUACUUUGAGUCCACAGGAGAUCAUAGUAAGGAGAUUUACAUGAACUAAGAUGUAAUGCAGAGUAGAAAAAAAGGGAAGAGAUUAUCCAGCUUUGACAUUGUCAGCCCUUUGUCUAGCAAGAGACAUAUUGUAGUGAUAAAUUGCGGUUACUCUCCUGAUGCUGUUUUGUAGAUUCACAUAAUGGCUGUAUUUUAUAUUUAAUCAAAGAGCUUUUUUAAAGCAGCAAACAAGGCUGGGCAUCCUGCCAAGUCUUUACUGUACAAAUUGACUUAAUUUCAUUGAAUUAUGGUCAAUGAUUUCCUGACGUGGACUGCGUUCCAUUUGUCUCGUCUCUGUCCAUUCUCCCA